GACUCGGUGUGUGAUCUCUUA
rnacentral:miRNA from 1 species